UACGGGGGGGGCAAGCGUUGUUCGGAAUUACUGGGCGUAAAGGGCUCGUAGGCGGCCAACUAAGUCAGACGUGAAAUCCCUCGGCUUAACCGGGGAACUGCGUCUGAUACUGGAUGGCUAGAGUUUGGGAGAGGGAUGCGGAAUUCCAGGUGUAGCGGUGAAAUGCGUAGAUAUCUGGAGGAACACCGGUGGCGAAGGCGGCCUCCUGGACCAACACUGACGCUGAGGAGCGAAAGCCAGGGGAGCAAACGGG
rnacentral:rRNA from 1 species